UACGUAGGGUGCAAGCGUUGUCCGGAAUUAUUGGGCGUAAAGAGCUCGUAGGCGGUCUGUCGCGUCUGCUGUGAAAACUCGGGGCUUAACCCCGGGCCUGCAGUGGGUACGGGCAGACUAGAGUGCGGUAGGGGAGACUGGAAUUCCUGGUGUAGCGGUGAAAUGCGCAGAUAUCAGGAGGAACACUGGUGGCGAAGGCGGGUCUCUGGGCCGUAACUGACGCUGAGGAGCGAAAGCAUGGGGAGCGAACAGG
rnacentral:rRNA from 1 species